CCUUCCAGAAUGAAUGUGCAUCAUUACCAUCCAACUAUGCUUCUGAUUCCAAGACUUUGCCAUCAUGAAGUACCCUUCCUUACCCAGGCCUCCAUCCUGUUUCCAGCUCCCUGGUAUAUGAUGUCUUCUCCCAACAGAAUAUAAGUUCCUUGGGAGUGUAAUAGUGGGAGAGACUGAGGGGCUUUAAAAUGCUAGGACCAGGAAACCAGUUGCUGUUGGGGACUGAUUUCUGGGUAGCACCUUCCUUCUUCUUCCACUAGGAUGGACAACUUUAAUGGAGUCCUGACCUGACCAGGUGGAAGACAUGUUCUGCCACCAGUCCUGCAGCAUCUUGUUUCAAGUCUCUUCUGCCUGACCUCACUUACCCAGUCUAGUAUCUUUGUGUGAAACUCGACAUGACAUGAAGCCCAAAAGAAGGUAGAAAAGAGAAACGAAGAAGGGGCUAGGAGAGAGAACACAAUGGAGCCAGAUGACAAAUGUUAAGGAAGAAUGAAAAACAAUCUGGAGGGCUUGUCUGCAAAGAAGGGCCACUAAGGGGGAGGGUGGGGAGGAUUUUUUAAGAGUGAAACCAGAGCAUUGAGAACAAUCACUUUUUAGAUUUCUCUGAAACUUGGCUUUCCCAGAAAAGAAAGAAAGCUACUUACUCGGAGUCUAACACAGCCUCUUCGGGAACCUCUCAUCAUUUUGUCCUUGGACUGAAAGAAAAACAAAAACAUCAUAAAACAUUUGUAUUAUAAAUAAAAUUAAGUCCAUUUGCUGUUAA